UCGUAUAUUAAAAAAAAAAAAUAACAAAUAAACUUGAAUAUGUUUGCCAUUAGAUAAAAAUUACAAAAACUAAAAAAAGACAUCCGUCUACUUGAAACAAGCAAUUAUAAUAGCAAGACAAAAGGUGAUCCGUAAAUUUCUGUAAAUUUCCAGCAAUAUUCAUUUCUGUUAAAUAUCUUAAAACCUCACUUUUUACUUGAAAUUUAUUUUUUAUCAUACUAAUCCUAUAUUCAAGUUCUUUUUUUUUUUUUUUUUUUUUUUUUUUUUUUUUUUUAAUUUUGCGGCUACCAUCUUUUUCCUCAUCCAAAUUUCUCCUUUAAAACAACCAACUUUUUUAAGUGUGUUUUUUUCUCCUUCAAGCAUUCAACUUAAACCCAAAUAAAUUUCCUCCCAAAUAAUGGAUUCUGGGUAGUUUCACUCUUUGGGAGCCUAGAAUAGUGAAGAACAAAUCGACAGAAGAAUUUGAAAGCCUACCAUACAUAUGCAGUCUUAAACUCGUGCUUAUGGACUUACUACGGCAUCAUUAAGCCGGAUUCGUUUGUUCACAUUGCCAAUGGAUUUGGAGCUGCCCUCGAAGCUAUUUAUGUGCUCCUUUUCAUCCAUUAUGCACCACCUAAAAAGAAGUUAUGUACUAUUUUAAUUUCUUAAAUCUUUGCGAAUAAUUUUUUUUUUUUGGUUUAAAAAGAAAAUUGAUUUUCUUAUCGUUACAAUUUUCACAUAAGUCAUGAGUGUUUCUAGGAAUAUGUAAUUUCCUUUUCUUAUUUACAUUUUUGAAAUAAAUUAAAUGAGCUCAUUUUUUUUAGAAGUUGGUUAGAUAGUCUUGGGAGUUAGCUAGCUAGGCUUAUCGCCUUUAUGCAUGGUGAAUUGUUUUCUAUCAUUACUUCCUCCAUCGCAUUUAUGUUAUUUAUAUUACUCACUUUGAUCAUAUUUCGUACGUCAUAUAUAUAUGAAGAUGUUUCCAUUUUUUGUUCCCCUACGAAGUGUAUGUGUACGUAAAAUAGAGCAUUAUAUAUCUCCCUACGUUACAAAUUCCAAACAGCAUUGAACUUAUAACGUCGACUGUUGCAGGCAAGAACAGCCAUUAUUGCUAUCAUACUAAACGUAGGCAUAUUCGGUGGGGCGGUGCUGGCAACAUAUUAAGGAGUGAACGACCGAUUUCGUGCACAAGUAGUAGAGAUGUUGUGUUUAACCCCAAUGGUUGCUAUGUAUGCUUCUCUUCUUGCUGUUUUGCAAUCUGUGCUUUGAUUCCAAGCCACUAGCUUGUCUAAAGCAUCGGGAGCAAAUGUAAGAUUGUGCUUCAACUCAAGAAGUAAAGACUUUUGAUCAUCUAGACAUUGGCAAGAAAUAAAAGGUGUACAGCAGCAAGUGCAUAGCCAUACAAUUAAGAUCAAGGGAAAAGGCCAAGAAGAAGAAAUGAGUGGAAUUAUUUUCAUUUUGUAUAUAUAUAGAGUGAAGUUAUAUGUGAGAUACUUGAAAUGUAUGGGUACUAAAUGAAACCAUGCAUUGUUGGACUGUUGGUAUUUAUAGUAUACAAGUUAACUAGAAGAAGGCCAUUAUUUAUACUGAUCGAUAUAAUUGAACAUCAUUUUUUGAAAAUUAAACUAGACUUUUUGACUUGGAAAUCUUUAGUUGUACAUGAAUCUCUUUUCACGAUGUUUCCAUGGAAAUCAAUGGUACAUUAUUUUAUUGCUA